ensembl:snRNA U4 U4 spliceosomal RNA
AGCUUUGUGCAGUGGCAGUAUUGUAGCCAAUGAGGUUUAUCUGAGGCACAAUUAUUGCUACUUAAAAACUUUUAUCAAUACCCUGCCAUGAUGACUUGAAAUAUGGUUGGCACUGGCAAUUAAAAAAGGUAUAUUUAUUUA